rnacentral:rRNA from 1 species
GUAGGUGGCAAGCGUUGUCCGGAUUUACUGGGCGUAAAGCGCGCGCAGGCGGGCUCGCUAAGUCUAGGGGUGAAAUCUCCCGGGCUCAACCGGGAGGGGUCUCUAGAAACUGACGAGCUUGAGGGGAGCAGAGGAGAGUGGAAUUCCAGGUGUAGCGGUGAUAUGCGUAGAUAUCUGGAGGAACACCAGUGGCGAAGGCGGCUCUCUGGGCUCUGCCUGACGCUGAGGCGCGAAAGCGUGGGGAGCGAACCGGAUUAGAUACCCGGGUAGUCCACGCCGUAAACGUUGGGCACUAGGUGUGGGAGGUAUUGACCCCUUCCGUGCCGCAGCUAACGCGAUAAGUGCCCCGCCUGGGGAGUACGGCCGCAAGGCUA